rnacentral:snRNA from 1 species
GGAUGUGAGGGCUAUCUGGCUGCGACAUCUGUCACCCCAUUGAUCGCCAGGGUUGAUUCGGCUGAUCUGGCUGGCUAGGCGGGUGUGCCCCUCCUCCCUCACCGAUCCAUGUGCGUCCCUCCCGAAGCUGCGCGCUCAGUCAAAGAGGACGACCUUCCCCCCCGAGGAGAGGACCAGUCUUGGGUCAAGGGUAUACGAGUAGCUGCACUCCCCUACUAGAACCUCCAAACAAGCUCUAAAUAGACACUUUUCAAAAGAGGACAUACAGUAAACCAAGAGACAUAUGAAAACAUGCUCAAAGUCAUUAAUCAUCCGAGAGAUGCAAAUCAACAUGACAAUGA